GGUUCGAUCAUGGCUCAGAUUGAACGCUGGCGGGAUGCUUUACACAUGCAAGUCGAACGGCAGCACGGACUUCGGUCUGGUGGCGAGUGGCGAACGGGUGAGUAAUGUAUCGGAACGUGCCUAGUAGCGGGGGAUAACUACGCGAAAGCGUAGCUAAUACCGCAUACGCCCUUCGAGGGAAAGCGGGGGACCUUCGGGCCUCGCACUAUUAAACGGCCGAUAUCGGAUUAGCUAGUUGGUGGGGUAACGGCUCGCAAAGGCGACGAUCCGUAGCUGGUUUGAGAGGACGACCAGCCACACUGGGACGAGACACGGCCCAGACUCCUACGAGGCAGCAGUGGGGAAUUUGGACAAUGGAAACCUGAUCCAGCCAUCCCGCGUGUGCGAUGAGGCCUUCGGGUUGUAAAGCACUUUUGGCAGGAAAGAAACGGCACGGGAUAAUACCCCGUGCAACUGACGGUACCUGCAGAAUAAGCACCGGCUAACUACGUGCCAGCAGCCGCGGUAAUACGUAAGGUGCAAGCGUUAAUCGGAAUUACCUGGGCGUAAAGCGUGCGCAGGCGGUUCGGAAAGAAGAUGUGAAAUCCCAGAGCUUAACUUUGGAACUGCGUUUUUAACUACCGAGCUAGAGUGUGUCAGAGGGAGGUGGAAUUCCGCGAUAACCAGUGAAAUGCGUGAAUAUGCCGGAGGAACACCGAUGGCGAAGGCAGCCUCCUGGGAUAACACUGACGCUCAUGUGCACGAAAGCGUGGGGAGCAAACAGGAUUAGAUACCUGGUAGUCCACGCCCUAAACGAUGUCAACUAGCUGUUGGGGCCUUUAAGACGCCCGGUAGCGCAACUAACGCGUGAAGUUGACCGCCUGGGAAGUACGGUCGCAAGAUUAAAAACUCAAAGGAAUUGACGGGGACCCGCACAAGCGGUGGAUGAUGUGGAUUAAUUCGAUGCAACGCGAAAAACCCUUACCUACCCUUGACAUGUCUGGAAUCCCGAAGAGAUUUGGGAGUGCUCGCAAGAGAACCGGAACACAGGUGCUGCAUGGCUGUCGUCAGCUCGUGUCGUGAGAUGUUGGGUUAAGUCCGCAACGAGCGCAACCCCUUAUAUUGGAUUGCUGAAAGGGCACUCUAAUGAGACUGCCGGUGACAAACCGGAGGGAGGUGGGGAUGACGUCAAGUCCUCAUGGCCCUUAUGGGUAGGGCUUCACACGUCAUACAAUGGUCGGGACAGAGGGUCGCCAACCCGCGAGGGGAACCAAUCCCGAGGCCGAUCGUAGUCCGGAUCGCAGUCUGCAACUCGACUGCGUGAAGUCGGAAUCGCUAGUAAUCGCCAGAUCAGCAUGUCGCAGUGAAUACGUUCCCGGGUCUUGUACACACCGCCCGUCACACCAUGGGAGUGGGUUUUACCAGAAGUAGUUAGCUAACCGUAAGGAGGCGAUUACCACGGUAGGAUUCAUGACUGGGGUGAAGUCGUAACAAGGUAA
rnacentral:rRNA from 1 species